GUGGUGCAAUCGUUAAGCACUUGGCUGCUAACCAAAAGAUUGGUGGUUUGAACCCACCC
rnacentral:tRNA from 1 species